GUUCUUGCCCAUUUCAGGGCUGUAGGAAAUAGCCUAGUUCCCGAGCACGUUGUUGCAAGACAUAUGCGUUAUGAUUCAUUAUUAAUUGCAGUGGAAAUAAUACUGCAGGAUAAAACUGCACCUGCCAAAGGACAAUUGCAUUUUGGAGGUUUCUGGAGAGGUCUGCCUGAGCUAGUUUCAAUCUGGAGAUUAAAGCUCAGUGGGAGCUCAGUGAGCGGAUCCCCCCCAGAGCUGUCCAGUGAAAUGCUAUAUGUAGCACACAGAGGCCAACUGAAUUUGCUGUGGUCAUAUCUGAAUUGAAGAUAUACUGAAAAGGUGAGGGCCAAAGAUCUCUGUGCACACGAACACACCGUGUGGUUCCUGCAUGCCAGCCUCUGCACACAGCAAGCUUCCUGGGGGUCUAAGGCUUGUGUACAAGAAAGCAGAUCCAAUGCAUGCUUAAUUGAAAGUAUGACUCAAAACGAAACCUGCCUGUAGUUGUUAAGUCUGCCUUACUGCUAAAUGUUAUCUAAUUACAUGUAUAACUUCUCCCUUCUCAGAAAAGGAAAUGAGGUUGGGUUUGAGGUUGAGAACUCCAACAUGCAUGUCUGAAUGGAAAUACCGACCGGGACACAUACAAGGGCAAGAGCAGAGCAGCCUGUGGGGCCACAUGUAGUGUGCACACCUGUGUAGCUGGAUGGCUUGUUUGUGCCAUCAUGUUCUCCCUGGGCACAGGCCACUGCGCUGCAAGGAUUCUUCUUGCUUUCUUCUCCAAGAGAGUGCUCAGGCACUGGAACAGGCUGUCCAGGGAGGGGAGGAGUCACCGACCCUGGAGGUGCUCAAGAAACGUGUAGAUGCUGCUGGAAAUGUUUAGUGGGAAAUACUGGUGAUAGGUGGAUGGUUGGACUGGAUGAUCUCAGAGGGCUUUUCCAACCUUGGUGAUUCCAUGAUUCCUUUGUCAGCGUCUCCCAGUAGCACUACAUCUGAAGGAGAGCUGCUCUCAGCUCCAGCCCUUUGUGCUGCUGUGUGAGCUCUGCCAGGCCAGGGAGGGCUGAGCCACACGGCCAUACCUUCAGCUUACAUCCAGUGCUCAGCUCUGUGGCCAUUUCUCUGAUUUUGGGUCACGUACACGUGGUUGGAGAGGAAGGUCUGUGCUGCAAUGUGUGUGCAUGAAGAUAAACAAAAGGACAUCCAUUUCCAGGGCUGCCAUGUGAAGGCUUAAUCACGUUGCAGAAUAACCGUGGAGUUAUAAAAUGAUGGGGCAUUUAAAAUGUUAUCUCCUUCCAAGCAUCGAGUGUUCCAAUUCUGCCUUAAGGGGACAUUAGCUGAUCGUCAAAUCACAAUGAGAUUCUUAUGACUUUGUUUGAAUAAACAGUUUUCAUAACCGCUAACAUUUUAAUGGAUGAUUACGUUCCCAUUUAGCUACCAGACGCAUUCAUUUUGAUUGAUGCUAUUUCCGCCCGUACCGAAGGAAUUAAAUAAUGAUUUGUCACUUAAGGCCGAGAGCCGCUCAAACAUCUUUGCAACAAACAACUUUCUUUGCGGCGCGCGCCCAGAC
ensembl:lncRNA